UGCUGCCAUAGUCCGGCACUUCGGCUGAAACCUGAGCCUGGUGUCCCCUCUCUCCCUCCUUGGUUAUCUACUCCCCAGCUUUGAGAGAGCCAACAGGAUAUUUAAUACCAAGCCACCUCCAGAAAGCAAAUGACUGCUGCCAAGCACAGGGAGGGGGUCAGAGCUGCAGGUACCACCUCAGGAACAGCAGAGGAAAAGCAGCCCCACAGAUAUGCCCAGGAGCCUGGAAACUCACAGAAACUGGAUGCUCUCAAUGGGCGCUGCAGCAGAAACAAAACCUACUGGCAGGUUUCUGCCUUCUGAGUAGAAGGCAGCAUUCAGCAGAAUACAGCAUCUCCAGACAGGCCACAGUAGCAAAGCCUCAGGCAGUCAGCCAGCAGAACACACAGAACAGGAAGAGACUGCAAACCCAGAAGAAAGAGAAAAGCAAAAGCAUUGGGAAAAUUAAUCUGAUGAAAGGAAAAACCCAGAUGCUUAAAUUCUAUUCUUUCAUCAUCCUCACCCCUAUCCACAUGAUUCAUGACAGAUAAAUCCAUAUGUCCAAGUUCCAUUCUCCCAUCAUCCUCACCUCUGCCCACAUGAUUUAGCAAAGGUCCGCAGAUCUUAAUAGCAUCCAUGAUGAGAGUCAAGACACAAGAAAUCAUCUCUGGAAGGCAUCUGCCAAGUGAGUUUGUUCUCAUUUCAUGCACCAGCCUGAGUAAACCCUUUGUCCAUGCUCGUUUCUGCUUA